CUGAACUGCUGAAACAUAUUUAAUACUUAAUAUAAAAGGCUGAAAGACUGAAGCUAAGCAGGGCUGCGCCCGUUCAGUUCCUGGAUGGGAGACCACAUGGGAAAGCUAGGUUGCUGCCGGA
rnacentral:rRNA from 1 species